rnacentral:piRNA from 1 species
AUGCCCUGAGCAUGUUGAUCUCUUUGUGCCCC